CCAUUACCCUGCGGCCGUGCACUCCGCGUUGCUCAGCAACGGCCUCUGGCUCGCCGUUCAGCUGAUGCGCGGCGGCGCUACACAGCCCACAAGUGAUCAGCUCCCGCUGUGUUGCCCCCACAAGCGAGAGGGCAAUCGCGAGGAAUAGAGUGCCUGGAGAAGUAUUCAAAAGGGUUAUUCUUGAUAGGCUAACAAGCAACUUUAUAUUCCCUAUCUUACAUUUCGAGCAUCCACACCCAGUGCAAGCUGGUGGGAAAAUGAUUGACAGUUGAACGUAAGGUUAAGAGAUUUUUGGUCAAUCAGAAUCAUGAAAUGACAUCUGAGGACUUCUCCUAAUUGAACACAACAGGCAUCUAUCAACAGUUCCAUUCUUACCAGACUCAAAUAUGAAAAAAUUACAUCUCUGGUAUAACAUCCUACCAGUUUGACUGUGGAAGAUUGCUGGUGAUGGGCAAAAGCUGAAUAUACAGUCAGACCACUUUAAACAAGAGAUGGAGAUGAGUGACACUCCGUAUACAAGGAGGAAAUGAUUAAGAAGAUACCCUCAUUAUUGAAAAGGCAAUUACCUGGACAAUAUCAUUCAGGGAGAACACUUGAGAACCUAAUAGUGCCAGCUCUGUUCUGCCACUCCUUUUCCACUUGUCUGAAAAAAGCAAUGAUCAAAGAAAGAUAUCAGGUAUAUGUAGUGUCAGUUUCAAAGGUCAUCUCCUGCGGUCAGCGUAUGGUGUUGCAGCACUCCACUAGAGGAAGUCUGAACUUACAGAAGGAAGGAAGAUGAAGGAGUGAUAAAGUAUCUAAGCGGUCUUCUUCCAAAAGAAUGAAAUUAGCUUGAGUAAUGGCCAGACUGGUUGAUCCUCUCCAUUAUGACAAAUAAAAGUAAGAGGAUGAAGCAGAAGGGUGACUUGGAGGCAUGAAACUGGGAAGUCGUGUCAAAAGCCUCUAAGCUGCACGGUCCAUUUGUGACUCCUUCGGUAAGAUACUCAAGAUCUAAGCAUGGGUGGUGGCAUUACCCUCCCCUCUCCGGUACGCUGUGCAGCGCCGUGGAUGUGCGGCGUGAGCAAUGAGAUGAGACUAUCUGGCUUGUUUCCUGCGCGAUCUGCCACGCUACAGCGAGGGGCACGGGCUUUCCCCCGUAGCCUCGCCAGGCACUGGCUGGGCGCGCUCGCCGGCUGCGCCGCUUGAGGAGCGCGCUGCUUCCCAGCGCCGCCGCCGCCUUCCAGCCCGGCUCCUGCCAGCCGCCCGUGGGUUCCUUUGCGGCUCUCCCGCUGCGCGGCUCCGCGCCCUUCACCUGUGGUGGGGAAGGGUGAGGCGCCCCCCGCCAAGCAGCCCGCGCCUACUGGCGGCUCCUCUCCCCUCGCUUUCCUCCCGGGCUGGGAGGCGGCAGCGUCCCCCCCCCUCCCGCCGCGGGGUUUCCCCCUCUCUGGCUCUCGCUGGAACAUCAAAGUUUUCCUCCCUCCUCCAAGCCCCCUCCCCGCCCCCGAGCCCUUAUUACUGCGCAGCCGGUGCACAGAGGGCUGCUGGCGGCGCGGCGAGCAGAUUACAGCGAUUAGCAGCGGGAGAAGCGGCGGCGCCUCGCCGGCUCCCCGCGCUGCCCCUGCCCGCCGAGGCCCCGGGGAGCCCAGCGCAGCCUCCCCGGUAGGCGGUGGCAACGACGGGGACGGAGCGGCGAGAGCCGGGCUGGCAGCGGGGCGGACCGACGGCGGGGCUUGCAGCGGCAGCUGCCGGGCAGCGGGGAGGCGGCUCGGGGCAGCGAGGGAAGGAGCGGACCCCCCAUCCCUCUUCCCCUCCCCCACUGUGUCUCUGACAUUGUCCUGCCCGCCCCCAAGGGACUGGGCUGCCGGCCGCGCCCCCGCACCAGGCUGCGCGCCGGCCAGCCUGCCCGGGGCUGCCGGGCUGUACCGCUAACCCCGCCGCCCGGCUGUCUGCGGCGUGCCUGGGACUGAGCAUGCGCCUGCCUACUGAGCAUGCUCAUUAGCGCCCGCUGAAGCUGGUGCC